AAUAGAUACCCCGGUAGUCCACGCCGUAAACGUUGGGCGCUAGGUGUGGGGUCCUUCCACGGAUUCCGUGCCGUAGCUAACGCAUUAAGCGCCCCGCCUGGGGAGUACGGCCGCAAGGCUNAAAACUCAAAGGAAUUGACGGGGGCCCGCACAAGCGGCGGAGCAUGUUGCUUAAUUCGACGCAACGCGAAGAACCUUACCAAGGUUUGACAUCGCCGGAAAACUCGCAGAGAUGCGGGGUCCUUUUGGGCCGGUGACAGGUGGUGCACGGCUGUCGUCAGCUCGUGCCGUGAGAUGUUGGGUUAAGUCCCGCAACGAGCGCAACCCUCGUUCCAUGUUGCCAGCAACACCUUCGGGUGGUUGGGGACUCAUGGGAGACUGCCGGGGUCAACUCGGAGGAAGGUGGGGAUGACGUCAAGUCAUCAUGCCCCUUAUGUCUUGGGCUGCAAACAUGCUACAAUGGCCGGUACAGAGGGCUGCGAAACCGUGAGGUGGAGCGAAUCCCUAAAAGCCGGUCUCAGUUCGGAUUGGGGUCUGCAACUCGACCCC
rnacentral:rRNA from 1 species